GAGCGUAGAGUGGAUGCCUUGACAUAUAAAGACGAUGAAGGACGUAGCAGUCUGCGAUAAGCUUCGGUGAGGUGACAAGCAACCUGUGACCCGGAGAUGUCCGAAUGGGGUAACCCGGCUGAGCAAACCUCAGUCAUCAAACACUGAAUACAUAGGUGUUUUGAAGGUAACCUGGGGAAUUGAAACAUCUUAGUACCCAGAGGAAAGGAAACGAAGGUCAAUACACUUUUUAUAGGGCCAAUGCUUUGGUCUUGUAAAAAGUAUGUAUUGAUGAUUCCCCUAGUAGUGGCGAACGAACGGGGAGAAGUCAAAAUUUCUUAAGCGCAACUCAGGCGUAAAGCCUGAGGGAAGAAGUGAUAAGCUACUGCUUAAGAAGUGUUGUGGGAUGAUUACGUUUAGGGCUUAUUGACCUAAGAUAGAGUCGGAACAAACAAGUCUUUCAUAGAAGAAUGCCGUGGGAAACGGCAACCAAAGAGGGUGACAGUCCCGUAUUCGAAAUGAGUCUUGUGCUCUAUGGUAAUUACUCCCGAGUACUAUGAGACACGUGCAAUCUUAUAGGAAACCAGGUCGACUAUGACCUAAGACUAAAUACUUUAUAUGAUCGAUAGUGAACCAGUACCGUGAGGGAAAGGUGAAAAGCACCCCGAGAGGGGGAUGAAAUAGUAUCUGAAACUUUACGCUUACAGAGCGCUGACGGGCUAUGCUUAGUCCAUUCAGAAAUUCAAAACCGCGUUAUAAAACAUUGUUGAAUUGAAUGCGAAAAUAUGGAUUUUUGAAUGGACUAAGAAUGCCUUACAGCGUGCCUAUUGAAGAAUGAGCCAGUGAGUUUGCUAAGUGGAGUUGAUUAAAUCCUACGGGAUGAAGUCACAGUGAAAGCGAGCGUGAAAUACGCGUGGCUAUUACUUCGGUAAUAGCUGAUAAUUCCACUUACAAGACCCGAAGCCAAACGACCUAUCCAUGACCAGGAUGAACUCUGUAGAAAUACAGAGGGAGGUCCGAACCCACGAGCCGUGCAACACUCGGGGAUGAGUUGUGGAUAGCGGAGAAAUUCCAAUCGAGUUUGGCGAUAGCUGGUUCUCCUCGAAAUAUCUUUUGGGAUAGCCUUAUGUACUACUUACUUGGAGGUAGAGCACUGAAUGGGGUGAGGUGGAUUCGUCCUACUUACCCUAACCAAACUCCGAAUUCCGAGUAAGACUAUCAUAAGAGUCAGACCGUGGGCGCUAAGGUUCACUGGUCAAAAGGGAAACAGCCCAGAUCGCUAUCUAAGGUCCCUAAAUUGAGAUUAAGUGUAAAAGGUGGUGCAAUGACGUAUACAACAAGGAAGUUGGCUUAGAAGCAGCCAUCUUUUAAAGAAAGCGUAAUAGCUCACUUGUCAAGUUGUCGUGCGCCGAAGAUUCAACGGGGCUCAAAUCUCAUACCGAAGAUGCGGAUGUUCUGACGUUUACGUCAGGGCGUGGUAGAGGAGCGUUCUCUGUGCAACGAAGCCGUACCGUAAGGAGCGGUGGAGCGCAGAGAAGUGAGAAUGCUGGCAUAAGUAACAAAAAGACGGGUGAAAACCCCGUCCACCGUAAACCCAAGGUUUCCUGGGCAACGCAAAUCGUCCCAGGGUGAGUCGAUCCUAAGUCGAGGCCGAAAGGCGUAGACGAUGGAAGAGCAGGUUAAUAUUCCUGCACUACCAUAAUUUUGUUGUACUUGACGCAUCACGCAAGUCUGAUCAGUUUUUGGCUAUAGCUGUCCCGCAAGGGCAAGAGAACGUAGCAAUACGAUUUCAAGUCAGACCCAAGAGGUGCCAAGAAAAACGGUACAACGUUAAGGUUAUGGUAUCCGUACCGUAAACCGACACAGGUGGGUGGGUGCGAAAUGCACUAAGGUGUACGAGAGAACCUUCGCUUAGGAACUCGGCAAAACAACGGCCGUAACUUCGGGAUAAGGCCUGCCUCGAGCAAUCGAGGCCGCAGCGAAAGACUCCAAGCGACUGUUUACCAAAAACACAGCUCCCUGCUAAACCGCAAGGUGAUGUAUAGGGAGUGAUGCCUGGCCAGUAUCCGAACGUUAAGGUGAGGGGUUUACGCCCUGAACUGAAGCGCGGAUGAACGCCGGCGAUAACUAUAAAAACGAUUGUAGUUAUAAAAUUUGGCUAUAUGCGGGAAACCCUCCUUCAAUCAAGAUACUCACUGCUUUCGAUGGAGCAGAAGUAACAAUUCUUGAGGGAUAGAAAAUCUAUCAGGAGACAAUCCGCAGGAAAGAUUCUUGAUGUGAAAUAAUUUCACUCAACAUGAAACAGACACAAUGGCUUAAAAGUAUACCCUCUGACGUAGGCCACUAUCUUGUGGGCUUUGCGGAUGGGGAAGGAAGCUUCAAUGUUUCCCUCCGCCGACGUGAAGAUCAUACGAUGAAAUGGCAAGUAGUGCUGACUUUCAACAUCUCACAGCGAGAUCGUACUGUUCUCGCUAUCUUUAAAAGAUAUUUGGGAUGUGGAAGAAUGCAAACACGAAAAGAUGGUGUGCUGUACUAUGUGGUAUCCAAUCCACUCUCAAUAUCAGAGAAGGUAAUACCCUUCUUUGAAAAAUUCAAUUUCCUCUCGGCAACGAAGAAACGAAAUUUUGCAAUUUUCAAAAAAAUUGCAAAACUCGUCGAGGAACAACAACAUCUCAACCAUGAAGGUCUGAAAAAAAUCAUAGAACUCCGUGAAGAACUUAAUCACGGACGUGGUAGGAAAAGAAAAUAUUCCAUCAUAGAUUAUCAAAAAUCACUUCAAGAAAAUCCUCAGAGACUAUACGCCAAACCGCGAAAAUUUCGGCAAGAAAUAUCGCGGAAGAUAUAGUCCGAUCUCAUAGGUGACUAUGAGCUAACAACAAUAAAUCGUCCUAAGGUCAAGCGUUUUUUACCUAAAUUUAAAAAACGUUUGAGGACUGGGACGAUUCGCAUAGGUAAUUCGUUAUUACUAUGUGUGAUACGCUGCCUCAUUCUUCAGCAAUGAAGAAUAGGUCCUAAAAUAUAUGGCUAUAUGCUGGAAAGCUCUGUCAAUGAGCCAAUCAGCAGGAAAGAUUCUAUCGUAUGAUAGAAAAUCCUCAGAGACCAAACGCCAUACCCCAGCAAUUUCAAAAAAGAAAUCUGGGUGAAGAUAGAGUCCAAACCUUAAAGGAGGUCCGAGCGAAAUUCCUUGUCGGGUAGAAAAUCGGAAACUGCCCGAAUAUUCUAGUAAUAGAAUAUCAGCAAACUGACUCAUAACGGUGAAGCCUGAAAUGGUAAUACCGUGGGAAGUUCGAUAUCAUAUCGAACCCCGUAACGACUGAUCCGAAAGGAGAGAUAGAUGACUGGUUUCAGCAGCGAGAAUAUCUAUCACACGUCAGCUCCCCGACCGCAAGGUCAGGGAUGAAGGUAUAGUCUAAUCAUUAUGGAAACAUAAUGCGCAGAACAAUGAAGUUCCGACCUGCACGAAUGGCAUAACGAUUUGGAGACUGUCUCAGCGAGGGACUCGGUGAAAUUG
rfam:Candidatus Kerfeldbacteria bacterium RIFCSPHIGHO2_12_FTLL_48_17 rifcsphigho2_12_scaffold_17131, whole genome shotgun sequence.